AACGAACGCUGGCGGCAGGCCUAACACAUGCAAGUCGAACGCUCCGCAAGGGAGUGGCAGACGGGUGAGUAACACGUGGGAAUCUUCCUGUUGGUGCGGAAUAGCUCAGGGAAACUUGGGGUAAUACCGCAUAAGCCCGAGAGGGGAAAGAUUUAUCGCCGACAGAUGAGCCCGCGUCUGAUUAGCUAGUUGGUGAGGUAAUGGCUCACCAAGGCGACGAUCAGUAGCUGGUCUGAGAGGAUGACCAGCCACACUGGGACUGAGACACGGCCCAGACUCCUACGGGAGGCAGCAGUGGGGAAUAUUGGACAAUGGGCGCAAGCCUGAUCCAGCCAUGCCGCGUGAGUGACGAAGGUCUUCGGAUUGUAAAGCUCUUUUACCAGGGACGAUAAUGACGGUACCUGGAGAAUAAGCCCCGGCUAACUUCGUGCCAGCCGCCGCAGUAAG
rnacentral:rRNA from 1 species